rnacentral:lncRNA from 1 species
ACACAGCCUAGCACAUGGGCGUGUGGCUUGGCUGUGUGACCCAAGUCAGUGAGUUACACGGGCACAGACAUGGACUGGGACACGGUCGUAUGUCCCUAUUUCGAAUGUUACAUAGCCUGAGACACGGGUGUGUGUCUCAACCGUGUGACCCUACAGUUUAAAUUUUUCUAACUUUUUCCUCAAUGUUUCAAAUGUUCUCGAUUUAGUCCCGAAUUGUUUAUAAAGCAUUUAUAGGGCCUCG